rfam:Stegodyphus mimosarum contig30083, whole genome shotgun sequence.
GCCUUCGUGGUGUAGUGGUCGGCACGUUCGACGCGUGACCGAGAGGUCCGUGGUUCGAUUCCCGGCGAAGGCU